AAUUACAAGCUUUUCCAUCUUGCACCAGAAUUCACAAGUUUGAUGUAUGCGUUCUUAAAAUCAUCGAAGAACAUGUUCUGAUUGUCAGCAUACUUUUUGAUCCAUCUGCACAGAACACAGGUUUAAGCAAUGAAAGGAAAAGGUAAUCAAAAUUCAAAUCUCUACUACAGUAUAUCAAAGUUAAACAAGUUUAGUUCAAGUUGAGCAUGUAUAAGAUAAGGCAAGAAACUAUUUGAAGAGUUAGCUGUGACCAGUAUAGGAAAUAGAAUCCAUGUCCACGUCUCUUUGGAUGUCUUUAAGACAAGAGAUAUAUGUCCCACAUAAAACCAUAACACAUGCAUUGGAUGACAAACUAAAUGCUCAUUACAUGAUAAGAAUUUCAUAGCAUGUGUUCAUAGCAGUGCUUUUGUAAAAAGACUGCAAAAACUCCGAUGUACUGUCGAAUUGUAGUUCAGUAAAAUACUUUAAUUUUUUAGUCUUGAUUAUGCUUGUGUCUUUCAGCAGGUAUAAAAUGCAUUUUCACAUGCAUGUGUUAUUAUGUCUGAAUUUUCACAACUAUUAUGGCUAUCGUCUGCUAGGUUCCUUGUUAUUGAAUUCCGAACCACUCAUUAUCCCUGGCUAGGCUAUAUGCUUCACUCAUCGAGGGUACAACUCAGAACUGCCUUGCAAAGUAAGGAGACAACGCAGACAAGACUUAAGAGAUAACAUGUUUUGAUUGAGAGAUCUUCGAAAAUGGCA
rnacentral:lncRNA from 1 species